AGUGAACGCUGGCGGUAGGCCUAACACAUGCAAGUCGAACGGCAGCACAGUAAGAGCUUGCUCUUACGGGUGGCGAGUGGCGGACGGGUGAGGAAUACAUCGGAAUCUACUUUUUCGUGGGGGAUAACGUAGGGAAACUUACGCUAAUACCGCAUACGACCUACGGGUGAAAGCAGGGGAUCUUCGGACCUUGCGCGAUUGAAUGAGCCGAUGUCGGAUUAGCUAGUUGGCGGGGUAAAGGCGCACCAAGGCGACGAUCCGUAGCUGGUCUGAGAGGAUGAUCAGCCACACUGGAACUGAGAAACGGUCCAGACUCCUACGGGAGGCAGCAGUCGGGAAUACUGGACGAUGGGCGCAAGCCUGAUCCAGCCAUACCGCGUGAGUGAAGAAGGACUUCGGGUUGUAAAGCCCUUUUGUUGGGAAAGAAAAGCAGCAGGUUAAUCCCCCGCUGUUCUGACGGUACCCAAAGAAUAAGCACCGGCUAACUUCGUG
rnacentral:rRNA from 1 species